GACGAACGCUGGCGGCGUGCCUAAUACAUGCAAGUCGAACGCAGUGGGGACGGUUUAGUAACACGUGGGUAACCUCCCAUCAGAGGGGAUAACACUUGGAAAAUGGCGCUAAACCGGUACUGAUGGAUGGACCCGCGGUGCAUUAGCUAGUUGGUGAGGUAACGGCUCACCAAGGCCACGAUGCAUAGCUGACCUGAGAGGGUGAUCGGCCACUCUGGAACUGAGACACGGCCCAGACUCCUACGGGAGGCAGCAGUAGGGAAUAUUCGGCAAUGGACGAAAGUCUGACCCAGCAACGCCGCGUGAAUGAAGAAGGUUUUCGGAUCGUAAAACACUGUCGUUAGAGAAGCGGUAUCCAACCAGAAAGCAACGGCUAACUCCGUGCCAGCAGCCGCGGUAAUUC
rnacentral:rRNA from 1 species